rnacentral:lncRNA from 1 species
GCUGCCAACCUUAGGUUCCUAUCCUUAUUACCCAAUAGCUUACGUAGGUCAACUAGCACCAGUGAGCUGCUGUGAGGGAAACUUCUUUAUUGGAAAUAAUAUGUAAAAUUAGUGCCCACUACAUAAUCACUUAAGAACCUGGAGAGUGGCACUGCCAUUGUGUUGUUGAAGGAGCUGACAUCUGAAGAGCGUGAAGUGUCUCUGCAAGUACAACAUGGCACUUCCUGGCACCGC